rnacentral:lncRNA from 1 species
UAUUAUGACAUUUUGCUACUGUGUGAGAUUGGAUCCUUAUAGUUCAUUUGUAUUCUUGUAGUUUAUUUGCUACUUGUAUACUCAUCAAAUAGUGAAUACAAAGAUAUAUCAAAAGCUUGAAUAACAUUCAAGUGGAAUAACUUUUUACUUUUUAAUAACUACAACAUACAAAAAAGAUUGUAAAUAUAAAGAUACAUUAAAAGCUUGAAUAACAUUCAAGUAGAAUAGCCUUUUACUUUUUAAUAACUAUAACACACAAAAUAGAUUGUAAAUACAAAGAUACAUCAAAAGCUUGAAUAACAUUCACGUGGAAUAGCCUUUUACUUUUUAAUAACUGCAACACACAAAAUAUAUUGUAAAUACAAAAUAUACAUCACAUGCAUGAAUAACAUUCAAGUGGAAUAGCCUUUUACAUUCUAAUAACUGCAACACACAAAAUAUAUUGUAAAUACAAAGAUACAUCAAAUGCUUGAAUAACAUUCAAGUGGAAUAGGCUAUUCCACUUGAAUGUUAUUCAUGCAUGUGAUGUAUAUUUUGUAUUUACAAUAUAUUUUGNUAAUAACUGCAACACACAAAAUAUAUUGUAAAUACAAAGAUACAUCAAAUGCUUGAAUAACAUUCAAGUGGAAUAGGCUUUUACAUUCUAAUAAUUGUAACAUACCAAAUAGAUUGAAAUUGAGUUACAUCAAAAAGCCUGCAUUGGCAUUAUAAUGUACACAGGGUUACAUUUGGUAAAAAUGAACAGCACAUGUAUAACAACAUCUCCACCAUGAAGAACGCUCACUAAACCUUAUCGUACUCUUAAAUAGCUGCAUCAUGAUCUUUUUCUCCCGAUAAAAGUUGCAAUCAAAGAAUCCAAAAAUAUUAUAAGAUUGACUAAAACAUAUGAUAUUCAAUAUAAGUAAGUAGCUACAAAUAGCAUUACUUCUCUGCAAGUUCGGAUAUUGUGUCCUUUCUUUUUACAGUGUUGGCAUGUUCUAGCUUUUUUCACUGCCUUUUUAACAGGAGGCUUAUAUCUCUGUGGCUUUCUUUUUCCUUUACAUUGGAAUUGCAGAGGAUUCUUCAACUUGACAAACCCAACACUAUUUGCUUGUGAAAAAAUAGUAGCCGUGUGAUGCUCCACAAUAUUUUCACUUUGAUCUUGUUUCUCUUUCAAAGAUUCAUAGAGCUUGAUAUUCUCAUCAACAAGUUUAUUGAUUUUCUAACAAGCCAUUUCAUAAUUCUCAAAAGUCUUGGAUACCUGAAAUAAAAGUUUUUGCAUUUUUAGUGUAAGUGCAUUAAGUCUUGCUCCUUUGCAUUUGCGGAGUCACCUGUUAACAUACUUUGAAAAUUAAUGCUUGGGGAUCCUUUUUUUGCAUCUUUAGUUCACAUUUUAUAAUGUAGUGGGAAGGAAUUUUAUGCAUUCGACUGUGAAGCAUAACUUUUAAUGUAUAUGAACAUAUAAGGCCACUAAAUUCAAAAAAUUUGCAACUGCAAUUCACUUUUUCCAUAGGUGGAUUUAUAGUAACUAUAAAUGAGUUUAUACCUUAGGCGGUAAGGUAGAGUUUUGUAUUGUGCUAAUCUUGUAGCAAUUGUUCGCCAACUCUGUCAAAUCAUAUCCUAUCGUAUAUUGAAAUUGAUUCUUAAAUUCUGAAAAUACUCAUUUUGUGUUUACACUACGAGCUUGUAUUUCAAUAGGAUUAUGUGACCAUAAACUAGAUUCAUCAUCUCUCGACCGAAAGUCUGCUUUAUACUCCUUAUCAUGGAGACUACUAACCACGUUUUCAAAUUGUAUUACAAGCUUGCAUAAUGAUGUAUGAUUAUUCAUAAACAUUUUCGUUAGAGCAUUCAUACUCUCACUGCGUUGCGAAGUGGUCAUUUCAGCAAAGAAUGUAUCUCUAAAGUAAGUAGGUAGCCAUUGAUGCUGAGCAUUUCACAUAACAUUUAGGUGGUUGUUAUCUUGCAAUCCAUAUUUUUAAAUCAUUAUAAGCCAUCUACUUUCAAACUCCUCGAUUGUUAUGCUAUCAUUAAUGCAUAAAAAUAACUCUUUUUUAAAACCUUCCUACGUGCUAUAAAGGAUACUGAAAUGUUCCUGCGCUCUCUUCAUAAUGUCCUACUAACAAUAUCUAUGCACCGUACGUGUUUGGAAAAGCUUGUUCGAUUUCUUUCCUCAUAGUUGGAUCUUGAUCAGUUAUGAUUGAUAUAGGAUGUUUCUCAUAAACUGCUUGAAGCCAAGUUCUAAAUAGCCAAACAAAAGUAUUAGAAGUUUCAUCCCCAAUGAGAGCACAACCGAAAAUUACAGACUGAAGAUGAUGAUUUACUUAAUGAACAGAGCGAAAGGCAUGGAAUACUUAUUUGUCAUAUAUGUUGUAUCAAAAGUAACAACAUCACCGAAAUUUUGAUAUGCCAUUCUCGAUCUCCCAUCUAUCCAAAAUACGUUGCGUACCAUGUUUUGCUCAUCAACUUCAAUAGUAUAAAAAAAGAAGGAUCUCUAGCUUGGCGCUCACGAAAAUAAUUGAUGGUACUAGAUAUAUAAAUCUUCGAUUACUUAGGUCCUUUCUAGUAAAGUUAAUAUUUUGUGCUCCUCCUUCUCUUACUGCUAUAAAUGAUAUAAUUUGAGUUGUUGAGAUAUUCUACUCACUCAGCAUAUGAAUUUUUUUUUUGUUCGGCUGUUAUUAAACGAUGAGACCAAAGAAAACGGCUUUAGAGGGACUUGCAACUAAAGCACUGUUAUGUUUCCUCACAAAUGCAACAACUUUCCAGUUGCCAUCAUUUGUCCUUUUUACCCUCAAAUGUGCCUUGCAACCUGUUCAUGUGUACCGCAUAUGUUUGUUUGGUGUCCCUUUAUUCUCUUGAUCCCAAACUUUUGGUUUGGAUUGCCCUUCUUUAGAACAAACAUAGUGUAAUGCUAUAACUAUAUUAUCUUUUUUUUCUUGGCUUUGUAGUGGGUAGCUUUUCUUAUACUAAAGCCAAUUUUAUAGGCAUACAAAUUGUAAAAUCUCUUUACUUCUUCUUCAUUCUGAAGAAGUUGUCCAAUAAACGGCUCAUGCUGUGAUGAUUCCAUGUUGCAUUGACUAAUAGAAUCCUUUUCAUGUUGGCUUCGUUCAUGCGUGAAAGAAUCAAAAUCUCUACUUUGAUUUAUCCCAAUAUCACUUGAGGGAUAUUCAGACUCUUCUCUAUAAUUGGAUCUAUUUUCUAGAGCAUCUAAUGUCACGCCCCGGGACCCGGCGGAGGCCCGCCCGGUGCGUGUUCAGACCCGCCAUAUGCUUGCACAUAUAAGGCGUCUAACAACAAUAGAAUAUGAAAGUAAGGAAAAUAAAACAACUAGAGAUAUCAGAGCAAGAGUACAACUAAUUCCAAUCACAAGUAGUAUGCAAAGAAAGAUAAACCACUAGUAAAACAUAAGGUAAUACAACAAUAAGCCUCUAGAUACAAGUACUAGAUAUACAAAAAUGGUGGUCUCUAUACACGGGUACAACUCACUCUCUCUCCAACUAUACAAAAGAAGAGAUAACUACCUAAAAGAAGAGAUCCCUGCGAUCUAGCUAGACGCGACUUCCUUGCUGCGAUUCCUAGCCUCUCCCGGUGUGGAUGGCUUUGAAAGAAAACAUCAAACAUGGGACGUGAGAACUAUAAUUAAUAGUUCCCAGUGGACAAUUACUGGCCUUAGCAAAAAUGCACCACUAGGCCCUAAAGCAAAGUAGAUAAUUCUAACAUUUAAUUGGAAACGAUAGCAUGAAUAUUAGAAUAGGAAAUAAACUUGUUAGCUACUAUGCUGCUACUUAACAGGAAGUUCCAAAAUUGCAAUAGCUAGUCUAACAUGAAUAAGUAUAUAACAUGAAUAUACUAGUAUGCUCUAACAUGUCCAACAAGUAUACUAUGAUGCAACAAGCAACACUAUCAAGUAUACUACAUGUCCAAGUAAGUCAACUAAAUGUCCAGUACUAUGCCACAAGCAUGUUCAAGAAAUCCAACUAUUAUAAACUAUCUAGUAGUGAUUGCCAUAUUAUGGUUUAAUGUCAAUAUCCAAUCUCAUUUUAGGACCUACACAAGUGUAGCACAGCUUGUGCCGCCUAAUGGCCCCAGGUAGUCCAGCAUUCUCUAGGAAUGUGACUGUCCCACGGUGACCCAGUAGGCCCUCAAUCCCGCAAGGGCGAGCAUAAGUCAUGUAGGCCAACUCCGGAGUGCUGGCUUGUAGGGAGCGACCCUCAUAAGUAUGUGCAAAUGAGCACAAAUGGCAAACAAGUAUAGUCAUCGUCUCAAGAACUCGGUCAUCAUGUCUAUAACAUGUAAUAAUCACUAGCAACCCCAAGGUCUAGUUCUAUGUCUCAAAGUAAAGGUUUAGCAUUCAUUGUGUCCAAUGCCCUUUUUAUAGUAUUAGUGUUCACAAAGCCCAACAAUUUCCAAGCUCAAUGCCCUUUUAUGACAUUGUAGCUUACUAAGUUCAUGCAUACACCAAUUUCAAUGCCACUUUAUGACAUUGUUAUCCGCUAUGUCCAAUAUGAGUUCUAAGUUCAAGAGCUUAUUAUAUAAGUCAUGUCAUUGCAAGAAACAUAAUUCCAAACCAUUAAAUAGAAUGCUAACCAUAUGCAAGCCUACAAUGCACAUAUCUCUCUCUACUACAUAGAGGUAAUUUUUUCAUCAUACAUAACAUAUGUAUUUUAAGCAUUCCAAACAUCUCGUAUGCUCUAUCUAGCAUGAAUAUGCAUGCAUUUCUAUUUUACGGCAAUUAAAAAUCGACAUAGGUGGAGUUUUUCCAUUUUCGAUAAGGUCAAACCCACCAAAACUCCUCGGAACCCUUCGUUCGCACAAAAGGAGAUGUCCACUAGCCUCCUAUCUCCCUAAAGGUUAAAUUAGGAGAGUUAAACGCAACGAACGAACACUAAUAGGCUCAAACAUUAACUAACCCAAGAAAAUGGCGAAAACUCACCUUGGAUGGUGAAAUUCUCUCUCAAACUCCAAAUGAGAGUAAGAUCCCUUCAAAUCCCACCUAAACAAAGGUUCUAAACCAUUCAAUUGAAAUCCAAAAGCCUCUAAUCAAAAAUCCCCAAAAUAAACCCUAAAUCUCACAUUCUAGGGUUUCAUCUCAAGAAAUCCCUCAAAUCAUGAAUCAAAAGGUGAAAACAUGAUACUAACCUCUUUAGAAGCUUCAAACAAGGCUAGAAAUCGACUAGGGUUGAAGUUUUUCUCUCCAACAAGUCCCAAACCGAGCUCCAAGUCUUCUCCCAUGGAAGCAAAAGCACUAAGAAGCAAAAAGGGACAAAAAAAGUGAUUAAACUUCAAAAAUCCCAAUUAAAAUCAAAAGAAUCCAAAGAGGGGAAAUGGAGAGCUCUCCUACCUUGUUCUCCACUGGUCCAAGCUCAGGGAAUAAGAGAAGAGGCGUGGGAUACUUGUAGUGUUGCUACAAUUCCACAAACACCUCUCAAAAACUGCCAGACUGCAGUCUACAUGCGUACCGGUACCAUCAGGCAAGAGUACCGGUACCAAGUUAGCCAUUUUGCCAACCCGAGCCUCGGCCGCAUAGGAAAUUGCACUGGUACCGGUACCAGCCCGAUUGUAACGUAUAGAAACCCGAGAACGAUAAUCGAACUUUGACCAAAUUGGUUAAAGUGUCGAAGGAAAGCGUUGGACAAGUUCCUCUUGCAUUCCAAUAAUGUUGGAAGGGCUAAAAAUGAGUUGGGAAGACUUAGAAUGGUUUUGGCGUCAACCGGUGAGAAGUAGAGCCGAAUCGAAGUCAAAAAUUGCAUUCUGGAUGUCUUGUACCGGUACAAGGGUGAUGGUUGUACCGGUACAACCAGCGACCAGAGCUCAGACAGCUCUCGGGUUGGUGCAGUCCCGGUGCUGUACCGGUACAAGGCUCUCUUGUACCGGUACAAAUCCGUCGAAAUCGAGAAACCGAGCUCUCGGGUUGCGCUCGGGUUGGCUGUCACCCAGGCCUUGUACCGGUAAAAGAACCCGUGUACCGGUACAAGGGACCCGAAACAGCAGGGAUGAGUCUGCUGCAGAGAUAAAGUUGAGGGGCCUAAUUGCUAAUGUUACAAUAUGUUAUUGGGCCACCCCUCUCCCUCCCACAGCUAUAGACAUCCCCCUCUCUCAUUUUUCUCUUUCUCUCUCUAGAAAAACCCUAGGGUUUGGUGAAGAAGGUGGAGAAAAGCUUGGAGAAGGUGGAUUUGGAGGCUUGGAUGGAUUUUGUGGCUCUCCAACAAGGUGGACUUUGGUGAGCUUGUGGCCAAGGUGAGUUUGUUGCACAAGAGAGUCUAGUGUUUGGUUUUAAACCUGGGGAUUUAGAGUUUUUUAUCCUCUAAUUAACCUAGAAAUCCUCUAAAGACCAUGACUCCAUGAAAAACAUAGUUUUCUUGGACCCCUCUCAUGGUGGAUCACUAGGGCUCAAAGUAGAUGCCCUAGGGAUGGUUAUAAAAGUUUAGAAACCUUGUUAGAGAGCUUCCCAAGUGAUUCUAAGCUUUCUUUUGCUUAGCAAUGAGAUCAAUCUAGGAGAAAUGCAAAAAUGGCAUGUUAGGGCAUCCUAAAGAGGGGUUUUACCCAAGUUGGGUUUUGAUCUAUUUUGAUCAUGUAGAAAACUAAUUGAAGGUAUUUUAAACGCGUUGGAACGCUCGGUUCGACAAUCCGACGAGUGUACGCAAAGUUAUUGAUAAAAACGUCAUUUUUCGUACAGAUAGCCGCAGCACGCAGACUAGGGCUUCAAAAAUUUCAAGAAAGUCACCGUAGCAUCCUGGUAACCAUCUAAGAUGGGUGGUGCAUUCCAAGGACAUCGGAAAUCUCUUUAUGUCUAAGUGUCAUAUUUUGAGCAUAUGAGUAUAUUAGAGCAUUUUGCAUAAUAGGGUUAAAUUGUGAGCUUUUUGUAGCAUAAUGUGAAUUCAAAUGCAUGUUAAAUGUUUGUAAGAUCGUGAGAAUGACAAUCCCUAUGUAUGCAUGAAGGUGACAAGAACCUAGAAGGGUUAGUAAACAAAAGUGACACAACGACAUAGAUUUGGCGAGUGACAUUGAUGAGUCUAGAGGACUUAGAAAACAAGUGUGGCAUCAAUGACAAAGAACAAGAACAAGUUGUGUACAUGACACUAGUCGAGGUUAGAGAAUGCAAGUAAAUUGGGUUAGUGACAUUAUGACAUACACACCUUAGAGUUAAGGGUCAUAUGUACAUGGUUCUCCUUGAAGUCAAGGAAUGGAUUGAACUUGGAAUCCUUAAAGUUAAGGAUUGAUCGUACUCACCUAAUAGUCCUUGCUCGAGGGCGGUAGCUCCCCCUCGGGCGAUGUGCUCCGGAGUUGUCAUCACUGGGUCGUAGCGGUUAUCUCCCCAGAGGGCGGUCCUGUCGGGUCGUAGCGGUUAUCUCCCCGACGAUAGGGAUUUGGGUUGGUGAGUUUGUGAGGGCGAAACCUACGGGCUAGCAAUGAGAUUGGGUAAUGAAAAGUUAAUCUUGCAUUCAUCAUGAGCAUUCUAUCGAGCAUAGUUUUAUUUAUCGUUCAGGCAUAUUAACUACAUUUGUUAGUUGGUUAUUAUCUAUUCUUUCUUCUAUUAUGCCUGAUUAGACCUAGUGGGAUAGUCGGCGUGGUUGGUUGUCGAACCCACUGGAAACUUUGUUGUAGUUCUCACCCCACUAUUUCCACAGAGCCGGGACCGAGCGAGCCGGCAGAUGAUCGCGGUAAGGGCAUCGCGCCCUAGGUAGAGACCGCCCGAGAUGGAUUUUAUUUUGUAGUUGCACACCCUUUACUAUCAUCUUUUGUAUUUGAUGAUUUUAGUAUUAUGAACUUGCUUUAAUGAAUGAUGUAAAGGAUAUUUACUUUAAAUGUCAAAAGUUAUAUUUUGG